UACGUAGGGUGCGAGCGUUGCUCGGAAUCACUGGGCGUAAAGGGCGCGUAGGCGGCCAUUCAAGUCGGGGGUGAAAGCCUGUGGCUCAACCACAGAAUUGCCUUCGAUACUGUUUGGCUUGAGUUUGGUAGAGGUUGGUGGAACUGCGAGUGUAGAGGUGAAAUUCGUAGAUAUUCGCAAGAACACCAGUGGCGAAGGCGGCCAACUGGACCAACACUGACGCUGAGGCGCGAAAGCGUGGGGAGCAAACAGGG
rnacentral:rRNA from 1 species